GCAUUUUUAUGGCGAAUAAUACUACCAUGUGCUAAUGUCUAAAAAGAACUCAUAUGAGUUAAAAAAACUCAUAUGUAGGAAAGAUUAUUAUUCCUAAUUAUCAUUCUCUUUUCAUAAUUUGUUUUCGUCCUUCAUUUCUCCCGUUUCCUUACAAUUUCUGAUCUCCUCUUCUCGUUUCUGUCAGGAGCAAGCGACCACGACCACGCCGCUGCCGCCGGUCGCCGCCGUGAAGUCGGGCCCCGCACGCCGCCGCCUCUAGCCGCUGGGGAGUCGGCCUGCGCACGCCCUGCCGGUCGCCGCCAGGGAUUCGAAUCGGCCCCCUGCUCGGCGCUCUACUCCUUGGCGGUGGCGUAGGCGGCGGCCCCCUCGACCCGUGGCGCGCGGCUCGCUUGAUCCGUGUCCUCCAGCGGGGAUGGCGGCGCAAGCAGCGGCCCUGGGCUGCAAUGGGGGUAGCGGGCACCGGUAUGAGCUGCGGCGGCGCGUGUCCCGCUUCGAGCAGCGGCAACGGGUGGUGACGGCGGCGCGUAUGGAGAAGCAACCACAGGCUUCAGAGGGAGGGCUGCAAAUGGCCGGGGCCGACGGUUGCGUUCGUCGGAUCUGCCUGCUCCGGGAUCAUGCAUGCCUGAUGUGAAGCCAGACUGUCGGAUUCGAGUAACCAACUGUGCAAAGGCAUGAGUAAAUUUAUCGAAUUCAUUUUGCAGGAAGUUAUGAUUAAGUUACGUGUGGCAACUUUUCAACUGUGAGGUGCUUGGUUUAUUGCAAUUUAAUAAUUAGGAGAUUGGCACUCGAGCUUUACAUUUCAUGCUAUUUAGAUUAUUAGUGAUUGGAUAGGUGUACCUAAAGGAGGGACAUGCCUUUCGUUGACAGUAUGAAUUAUUUUCCUGUGUACAUAUGUAGUUUUGGAUCAUUGGUUUUGCUUCUGUGUGCUGGUACAUAUUUUUGCUGAUUAUUACAGAGGAGGAAGAGGAUACUCGAGAUAAAAUUUGCAUAGUUAUGAGCCAUGCUUGUUUAUCUCUAGGUUUCUCAAGAUAAAAUUUGCAUAGUUAUGAGCCAUGCUUGUUUAUCUCUAGUUUUUCAUGCUAUUUCGUGCUUUAUUUUGCAUAUACCUCAGAAGGUGGGAUAAAAUGGACUAGAUUGCCAGCAGUAUAUGAUAUUUUUGUUUAGUCUGGGUUUACUUAUUAUGAUCUUAGCUUGAGAUAGGGGAUGCUCAUAUUACAUUUUGUCCUGAGAUUGUUUCUAAUAGCGACAUUGUUUGCAUGCUGCUGAUUAAGUUGUAUAUUGGCUAAUCAUGAGGACCCUCACUAUGCGUCAUUUUCCCCAAUUACUUGUGGAAUCUCAUGAGGACACUUCAAGCAGUAAUAUCAAAGCACUGAAUUACUUUUUGCUCACCAUCAUGCAAGAAUUCCCAGAUAAGCUUAUGCUUUGCAAUGUAGUAUUUUUUCCAUCGGAUCACCUUUAUUUAUAGCAUGAAAUUUACUGCUAAAAAUAUUAUUCACAGUCAGAUUAGAUUUAUCAGGAAAGAUACAAAAUAGUUGCUCCAAUAUGUGCCAGUAGCAUAUCUCUAAACAGGCCAAGUAGCUAUUCUGAAAGGUUUACUCAUGUGAAGUAGUUUCUUAUAAAGGAUGUCUUUCCACUGUACAAAAUUUAAUGAAUAAAAAAAAGACCUGACAGCAGUGAGCAAAGUUACAGAUUAAUUCUUGAAUGGAUAUGAUCCUUUUAUUUGUUUUAUUGCAGUGUAAGCCUUGAAGAAUAUAACAGCUAUCUUGCUUAAGAGAGUCCUACCAGAUCUCACAAGAUGAUAAAUAAAAUUAUCUGCCAGGUUCAUUGAACUUGAGAAUUGCUUGGCACAGUUGAUGCAGAAGGAUGAUGAGCUACUGGAAGUAAAAGAGAAGGUUCAGUUCUUGCAAUAAAAGAACCGGGCUGUGUGGAGUUGCUGGGUCACUUCAAGAACUGAGUCUUAACCUUUUCUGUUGUGCGGCAGAAGAAAUAAAACGAAAUUGAGAUGCUGGCUCCUCUAUCUAGGAGGCUGGCAGAGUGUCACUGCUCUUGAAGAACAAGCGAUGUUACUAGGACCCAUUUGUAAUUGAGUUAGAAUAUUAGCAUUCAGAACAAACUUAUGUAUUAUUUUUUCGGUUUCCUAUCGAAAUGAGGCAAUCUUAUAUGGAGCAAUGAGUUAAAGCUUUGCUAUUAAUGUG